rnacentral:pre_miRNA from 1 species
ACUAUGGCUGUGUCGGUGGUGCAUUGUAGUUGCAUUGCAUGUGCAAGUGAAGAUGUGCAAUGCCCCUUCAGUGCAGCCCUGGGGCAGCAC